rfam:Oryza rufipogon genomic scaffold, chr03
AUUAAGCGUAGCCAUGAGUUACCGUGUCCAACUUUGAUCGUUCGUUUUAUUUGGUUAGUAGAUUAUAAAACAUGAAUAUAAUACUUUAUGCGUGACUUAUACUUUUCAGUUUUUUUAAAAAAAAAUAUUAAAUAAGACGAACGAUUAAAGUUGGACACGAAAACUCAUGGCUACACUUAUU